GACAAAUGGAGUUUCAGGCUGGGGACAAGAGAAGGCGUGAGAACAAGGAAGGAUGGAAGUGGGACUGAACAGCUCGGUGCCAGAGCAUAUGCUGAGUUAAGGAGUUUUGACUUCAUCUUGGAGACCUUUCAUCUCUCUCUCUCCCAUUUGGCCAGAGUAGAGUUACAUUUUAUGAUGAUGAAGACAGGAAUGUGUAGCCAUCAGUUCUAUAGUUGGUCCCAAAGAUGGAAUAGCAAGUGGUCAAAAUCAGCCCUGAAAAUCCCUUAAGUUGCCCAAAAAGUACAAGGCUUUGAAAUUUCUGAGAAAAGAACUUCAGAUCUACUAAAUUUAAAUUAAUUUAUGAUAGUUUAAAAAACAACAAUUACAUGGUCCUACAAUUUAUAUUUUUCAACUGCAGUAAAAUCCAAUUAGCUUGACUACUUUGAUAGUCAAACACCCGAGAGGCUGGAGCCCAAGGACUUAUCUGCAUCCCCAUCAAGUUCAGAGCCAAGAACAGCAGAGCACAUCUCAUUCUAAUGAAUGGCACAAAUCUAUAGACAAAACAACUUCCAGUUGAAAUAUUUGUACAAGAUUAAUAAAUGA